GACGAACGCUGGCGGCGUGCCUAAUACAUGCAAGUAGAACGCUGAAGGAGGAGCUUGCUCUUCUGGAUGAGUUGCGAACGGGUGAGUAACGCGUAGGUAACCUGCCUGGUAGCGGGGGAUAACUAUUGGAAACGAUAGCUAAUACCGCAUAAGAGUAGAUGUUGCAUGACAUUUGCUUAAAAGGUGCAAUUGCACCACUACCAGAUGGACCUGCGUUGUAUUAGCUAGUUGGUGGGGUAACGGCUCACCAAGGCGACGAUACAUAGCCAACCUGAGAGGGUGAUCGGCCACACUGGGACUGAGACACGGCCCAGACUCCUACGGGAGGCAGCAGUAGGGAAUCUUCGGCAAUGGACGGAAGUCUGACCGAGCAACGCCGCGUGAGUGAAGAAGGUUUUCGGAUCGUAAAGCUCUGUUGUAAGAGAAGAACGAGUGUGAGAGUGGAAAGUUCACACUGUGACGGUAUCUUACCAGAAAGGGACGGCUAACUACGUGCCAGCAGCCGCGGUAAUACGUAGGUCCCGAGCGUUGUCCGGAUUUAUUGGGCGUAAAGCGAGCGCAGGCGGUUAGAUAAGUCUGAAGUUAAAGGCUGUGGCUUAACCAUAGUACGCUUUGGAAACUGUUUAACUUGAGUGCAAGAGGGGAGAGUGGAAUUCCACGUGUAGCGGUGAAAUGCGUAGAUAUAUGGAGGAACACCGGUGGCGAAAGCGGCUCUCUGGCUUGUAACUGACGCUGAGGCUCGAAAGCGUGGGGAGCAAACAGG
rnacentral:rRNA from 1 species